AAUAGAUACCCUGGUAGUCCACGCCGUAAACGAUGAGUGCUAGGUGGUUAGGGGGUCCAACCCUUAGUGCCGAAGUUAACACAUUAAGCACUCCGCCUGGGGAGUACGGCCGCAAGGCUGAAACUCAAAGGAAUUGACGGGGGCCCGCACAAGCGGUGGAGCAUGUGGUUUAAUUCGAAGCAACGCGAAGAACCUUACCAGGUCUUGACAUCCCUCUGACCUCUCUAGAGAUAGAGAUUCCCCCUUCGGGGGGCAGAGGUGACAGGUGGUGCAUGGUUGUCGUCAGCUCGUGUCGUGAGAUGUUGGGUUAAGUCCCGCAACGAGCGCAACCCUUGAGAUUAGUUGCCAGCAUUCAGUUGGGCACUCUAAUCUGACUGCCGCAGACAAUGCGGAGGAAGGUGGGGAUGACGUCAAAUCAUCAUGCCCCUUAUGACCUAGGCUACGCACGUGCUACAAUGGAUGGUACAAAGGGUUGCGAAGCCGUGAGUGGAGCCAAUCCCAUAAAGCCAUUCUCAGUUCGGAUUGGU
rnacentral:rRNA from 1 species